UGCGGAAGGAUCAUUAAUAAACCUAGUCGUUCGCGUACACAGGGGCAACCCUCGCGCGAUGUCAGCAAUACCUAGGUCACCCUUGAAUAAACUACCCUUGUUGCUUUGGCGGGCCGCCCCUCGGGGCCAGCGGCUUCGGCUGCUGCGCGCCCGCCAGAGGACCACAACUCUUGUUUUUAGUGAUGUCUGAGUACUAUAUAAUAGUUAAAACUUUCAACAACGGAUCUCUUGGUUCUGGCAUCGAUGAAGAACGCAGCGAAAUGCGAUAAGUAAUGUGAAUUGCAGAAUUCAGUGAAUCAUCGAAUCUUUGAACGCACAUUGCGCCCUUUGGUAUUCCGAAGGGCAUGCCUGUUCGAGCGUCAUUAUAACCACUCAAGCCUUCGCUUGGUAUUGGGGUUCGCGGCUGCGCGGCCCCUAAAAUCAGUGGCGGUGCCUGUCGGCUCUACGCGUAGUAAUACUCCUCGCGUCUGGGUUCCGGUAGGUUGCUUGCCAGCAACCCCUAAAUUUUUUACAGGUUGACCUCGGAUCAGGUAGGGAUACCCGCUGAACUUAAGCAUAUCAA
rnacentral:rRNA from 1 species